GAGAAGUCAUAUAAGCAGUAUAAAUAGUAUGAGCUAGUGUGAGACUCGGAGAUUACGAUAGAUUGAUAAAUUUGUGAUUGAAAGGGUUUCUAAUACAAUUCUGUUUUUCUCUAGUUUUUGGGUGUCAAACUAUUCUCUCCUUACUGCAUAAUUGUGCAGGCUAUGAAAGACGAACAUGUUGCAUUAUUGGCAAACAAAACUUGGCAUUUUGUCUAUCCACCACAGAAUGCAAAUGGAUGUUUGCAAUCAAGCGUGGCCCUGAUAACUCCAUUAAAAAAUACAAGGCCAAACUUAUUGCAAAAGAUUGCCACCAAGUUGAGGGUAUUGAUUAUACACAGAUUUUUAGACCCACUACCAUUAGCGAUUUCUAAAGGGCGAUGCUUCCGCCAAUUCGAUUUUAAUAAGUAUAUAUGACUCCUCCCCUGGCUUAUAUUCAGGUGCAAAUGGUAUGGUAUGUAAAUUAGACAAGGCCAUUUAUGGCUUCAAACAAUCCCCGAGAGCUUGGUUUUUAAAACUUCAAUCUACUCUACAUACUCUUGGUUUCUCUACUCUUUUUGUUAGAACAACUUCUGCCUCUACUAUUUACUUAUUAGCCCAUGUUAAUGAUAUAGUCAUUACAGGUAGUAACAACAGUGAAAUAGAAAGUAUUAUUGCUAAACUACACUCUAUUUUCUCUCUUCAUGUUUCUCCAGCAAAAUAUGUGCAUGGCCUUUUAAAAAAGGCUUGGAUGGAUUUGUCCAAUUCUGCCUUCUUUCAAACUUACUGCUCAAGAAAGUGACAGUUUUGACAGUUCUGAGAUAGCAUAUGCGGCAAACCGGAUGCAAACUGGGCUGCUCAUUUAGAUGAUAGAAGGUCUACUAAUGGUUAUUGCAAAUUCCUAGGACCUAAUCCAAUAUUCUGGAGCAGCAGAAAGCAACAGGCAUUAAGCAGAUCUUUAACAAAAGCUGAAUACGGGUGCUUGGUAAAAGAAGUGGCUGAGUUUAUAUGGAUUCAAAAAUUGCUUGGAGACCUCAACAUUACAAGUCCAACAGCUCCGAUUGCUGUCUGAAAAUCCUGUCUUACAUAGUCACAAUAAACAUUUUGAAAUGUUAGAGAUAGAAUCACAAAAAGAUUAGUUAAAAUAGUUCAUAUUCCUUCUCACUCUCAAGUUGCAGAUAUUCUCACCAACCCCUUUUCUGUCACAGUGUUUAAUAAUUUAACUUACAAACUAAGGAUUUCACAUGCUGCAACCCUUAGUUUGAGGGGGGUGUAGAGAAUGAUGACUUUGGAGAAGUCACCUAAACACUAUAAAUAGUAUGAGCUAGUGUGAAACUCAGAGAUUACAAUAGAUUGAUAAGUUUGUAAUUGAAAGAGUCUCUAAUACAAUUCUGUUUUUCUCUGGUUUUUGGCUUUGGGUG